UCACGGACAAACUUCUAAACAGGAUGUUUGAUGUAAUGCUUAUGUAUGUCCGUGUCUUUUGGUAUGUUCAUGCCUUGUACAGCAUGUAGAGGGACGGCCGAAGGCUUAAUAGUCCCAUUUUAGUUGGGUUGGUGGCCUCUUUAGGCUUGUAAAUAAAGGUUGUGUCAUGUGGACACGUGCGAGAGAUUUUCGGUUUGUAAUGGAUCAUUUUACCCUUUGUUGUGCAAUUGUUCAGA
rnacentral:lncRNA from 1 species